rnacentral:rRNA from 1 species
UAGGGAAUCUUCCGCAAUGGGCGAAAGCCUGACGGAGCAACGCCGCGUGAGUGAUGAAGGUCUUCGGAUCGUAAAACUCUGUUAUUAGGGAAGAACAAAUGUGUAAGUAACUAUGCACAUCUUGACGGUACCUAAUCAGAAAGCCACGGCUAACUACGUGCCAGCAGCCGCGGUAAUACGUAGGUGGCAAGCGUUAUCCGGAAUUAUUGGGCGUAAAGCGCGCGUAGGCGGUUUUUUAAGUCUGAUGUGAAAGCCCACGGCUCAACCGUGGAGGGUCAUUGGAAACUGGAAAACUUGAGUGCAGAAGAGGAAAGUAGAAUUCCAUGUGUAGCGGUGAAAUGCGCAGAGAUAUGGAGGAACACCAGUGGCGAAGGCGACUUUCUGGUCUGUAACUGACGCUGAUGUGCGAAAGCGUGGGGAUCAAACAGG